UACGGGGGGGGCAAGCGUUGUUCGGAAUUAUUGGGCGUAAAGGGUCUGUAGGCGGCCAACUAAGUCAGACGUGAAAUCCCUCAGCUUAACUGGGGAACUGCAUCCGAUACUGGAUGGCUUGAAUCCGGGAGAGGGAUGCAGAAUUCCAGGUGUAGCGGUGAAAUGCGUAGAUAUCUGGAGGAAUCCCGGUGGCGAAGGCGGCAUCCUGGGCCGGCAUUGGCGCUGAGUGAGCGAAAGCCAGGGGAGCGAACGGG
rnacentral:rRNA from 1 species